AUUGAACGCUGGCGGCAGGCCUAACACAUGCAAGUCGAACGAGUGGCGGACGGGUGAGUAAUGUCUGGGAAACUGCCUGAUGGAGGGGGAUAACUACUGGAAACGGUAGCUAAUACCGCAUACCAUCAGAUGUGCCCAGAUGGGAUUAGCUAGUUGGUGGGGUAACGGCUCACCAAGGCGACGAUCCCUAGCUGGUCUGAGAGGAUGACCACUCAAACUGGAACUGGGAAACGGUCCAGACUCCUACGUGAGGAAGCAGUGGGGAAUAUUGGACAAUGGGCGAAAGCCUGAUGCAGCCAUGCCGCUAAUAUGAAGAAGGCCUGCGGGUUGUAAAAUACUUUCAGCAGGGAGGCGUUACCCGCAGAAGAAGCACCGGCUAACUCCGUGCCAGCAGCCGCGGUAAUAC
rnacentral:rRNA from 1 species